UACACACACACACUUUAAAUGGGCAGCAGGGUUAGCCAUGCAGAUUAGUUUUAUCGUGAUGGACCAACUCUUAUUUAAAUAUUCAUUCUUUCUUUUAUUCUCCUGAUGAUUGGCUGCCUGGAUCCAGCAAUCCAUCUGGACACACAAACAGGAGUGUUCAGAGACGGGCUGCGACGAUGACGUAACUAUAAGUCGGGAUCCCUGGACCCUGAUGAGUGGACCAGGAAGCAGAGGAAAGGGGGGGCAAGAUGGGAUGAGGGGAGCCUGUGAACUUUAGCGGCCAUCUUGGAGGACACCCGGCGGUGCACGACGAGCCAAUGGGACACGUUAUACCGUUUGUUAUGAAAAGCAUGGGAAGAUGUCCGGGCACCCCCUCCUCCUCCGUCCACGGUUUGGACACAAGCCAACUCGGGCAUCCCACACACCGGACAGAUUUCUCUCUGUUCAAUCCCAGCAUGCAUUGGCACGGCAACGAGUGACCGCAGUCACAACAGCAAAGCGGGGAUGGGACCCGAGAGAGGCUGGAUCUCUGCCAUGUCUCCCUUGUGGGGAGUUAAUGAAGCAAGAAAAGCUUGGAUACACUUCAAGAAUCAACUUUCUCACACACACACACACACACACACACACACACACACACACACACACACACACACACACACACACACACAUUGACGUCUUUCAUAUUUAUUUAAACGUGUUCCCACCUCUUGCACAAACAAAAGCCCUAACAAGGCAAACAGACCCCAAGCUGUCGAAUCUUGGCGUCUUUGUUUGCGGUGACAUCGUGACAUCGCUCUCGAUUGACGUCUUGAUUAAUGUUUUAGUGCUUCUCAGGAUGACGCAAAGAUGAAGAUAAAGAAAAGCCAAGAAUGUAUAUUUGUUGCAUUCAGCAUGGGGCGCGUGCUCACCCCGGCGUACACGUGAUGAGUGGAGGGGCGGCGUCGCUGAAUCGAGGGACGUCUGGGUGGGUGAGGCGCCACUGUCUGAAUAAAGGGUGGGAGAGGAACCGGAGAUCUGAGAGGAGAGAGGACAACAAGCGGAGGAGCGCAGACCAAGAAGAGCACGGAGAUGGAGUGUUCAGAGACGGGCUGCGACGAUGACGUAACUAUAAGUCGGGAUCCCUGGACCCUGAUGAGUGGACCAGGAAGCAGAGGAAAGAAAACGGGGCUCAAAGGACCUCUCCACCUGACCGGAGUGUUAAUAUUUAAUAAAUAAAUUGAUUAAUUAAAAAAAUGUUUAGAAAGCACUGCAGAAAAAUGCCGAGGACCUGAAACUCAGGGAUCAAAGGUUUGAGGACCUGAAGGUGAGAUUUGAAGCUCAGGGGAGUAACAUAAAAGUUCCCUCUAUAGAUGGAGUUUAGCUUAUAGUUGAACCAACACAGCUCAUUGUUUAUGGACUAUUUGUAUUAAUGUAACCUAUUGAAAUGUUUUUAGUAGACCAGGGGGUGAAAGUAGGAGCGAAAGGCCAAAGGUCAAAGUCAGAGUUUGGGAACGAGCGGGAAAACUGAGCUUUAGAUUCUGUUAGCUGAAAUUAGACAAAAUCUAGAAAUGAUCCAAAACUAAUUAAAAUAUAAUAAAAAAAUUUAAAAAGGUUACACAUUUUACGUUAUGUAAUAAUUCAAAUUGACCCACAUUUUAACAACAAACUGCACACAAAUGCAUCUUUACAUAGAAAAUAGUUGUUUGAAGCUACAUAUAUUGAUGAUAUUGAAUAUUGUACCUUUAAAAAAGACCGAUGAACGAAUGUUUGAAUAAAAAUCCACAUCGAAAAAGAAAAGACCCAUUUCGAUUUAGAGCGACUUUAUAGUCGACCGCUGAGACAUUAAUAAGGCAUCUGUGGUUUAUAUUGCUUUGCAGAUUUUAUUCGUCUAAAUAAAAUAAUGAUGAAAAUGUGAGGAAACUAUUUUGGGGGGUUUGUUUCAUGAAAACUGAAAGUGAUUAAAUAUGAAAAAUGUCCCGAUAUCCUAUCUGAUGGUCCACAGUUUUAUAUUUUAAAAAGCAAAGAAAAAGCACACACACACACACACAAACACAUUCUGGAUGUUUCUUUUUUUUUUUUU